AACCCAUGGUAAGGGCACCAUCUAAACAGAUCCUUGUAUCUCUCUCAUGCAUCGUAGAGUGUUUCUAAAUCCAUCUACACAAAAGAGGAGAUAUCAUUAUGUAAUU
rnacentral:snoRNA from 1 species